UUUCCGUAGGUGAACCUGCGGAAGGAUCAUUCAUUAUAAAGUGUUUUAUGGCCCUUUUUAAAAAUCCAUAUCCACCUUGUGUGCAAUGUUAGAUCUCGUCAAUCUUGGCGAGAUUUUUAUACAUCAACUCAUUCUUUAACUAAUUUGUCUGAAAAAUAUUAUGAAUACUUAAUUCAAAAUACAACUUUCAACAACGGAUCUCUUGGCUCUC
rnacentral:misc_RNA from 1 species